AGCGUUAUCCGGAUUUAUUGGGUUUAAAGGGUCCGUAGGCGGAGUCUUUAAGUCAGUGGUGAAAUCCCAGAGCUCAACUCUGGAACUGCCAUUGAAACUGAAGAUCUUGAAUUUAGUUGAGGUAGGCGGAAUACGUUAUGUAGCGGUGAAAUGCAUAGAUAUAACGUAAAACACCGAUUGCGAAGGCAGCUUACUAAACUAACAUUGACGCUGAGGGACGAAAGCGUGGGGAGCGAACAGGAUUAGAUACCCUGGUAGUCCACGCCGUAAACGAUGAUUACUCGCUGUGUGCAAUACACUGUACGUGGCUAAGCGAAAGCAUUAAGUAAUCCACCUGGGGAGUACGUUCGCAAGAAUGAAACU
rnacentral:rRNA from 1 species